AUCUCGAUUUUUCCCCCUUUGUUUUUUGAUUGGAUGCCUGAUUUUAAAUGGUACUAUCGUUCGGUAUUAACGACAUUGUAGGUGUUUGGUUUGGUUGGUUUUGUGAUUUGAUAAGAGCGUUCAAUGCUUAAUUUGUCCUUUGUAUAUGACGCCGUCGCUACCUGUUGUUUUAUUUGUCUAAAAGAAGGGUCAAUUGAUUAUAUACGACGUCCUCUCCUCUAAAAGAAAAUGAUGAUAGAGAAUGUUGUUUGAUUGUAGAUAUUUAUCAUUUUGUACUGAUAGUAAGGUUAUAUCCUGCUCAAUUUGGUGUUUUUAUCUUGUAAUUACAGCAUAUGUUUGGUUUAUGCGUUCCGCCCUCAGAGGAAGGUAGGAUUUACGUUAGAGGUGUGACUAUGUAAGGCUCCGUGGAAUGUAAUCUCAGCAAGUUUGUUUUGUUUGAUUUAGAGAUGAUACUUGAGAAUUAUGGAUCUUAUUGUAUAGAAAUAUGCUAAUUACUUGCCUAAUUUAUACUCUGCCUUUAUACUACUCAACCACUUAUUAAGGGAAGUAAUUUGCAGGUUCUGCAUCACAUUCUCAAGAG
rnacentral:misc_RNA from 1 species